rnacentral:rRNA from 1 species
AGGGAAUAUUGGUCAAUGGACGCAAGUCUGAACCAGCCAUGCCGCGUGGAGGAUGAAGGUCCUUUGGAUUGUAAACUCCUUUUAUUUGAGAAGAAAUCCCCCUUUCUAGGGGUGUUGACGGUAUCAGAUGAAUAAGCACCGGCUAACUCCGUGCCAGCAGCCGCGGUAAUACGGAGGGUGCGAGCAUUAUCCGGAUUUACUGGGUUUAAAGGGUGCGCAGGUGGGUGGAUAAGUCAGCGGUGAAAUCCCCGAGCUUAACUUGGGAACUGCCGUUGAUACUAUCUACCUUGAGUGUUGUGGAGGUGAACAGAAUAUAUCAUGUAGCGGUGAAAUGCUCAGAUAUGAUAUAGAAUACCGAUUGCGAAGGCCGUUCACUACGCAAUUACUGACACUCAGGCACGAAAGCGUGGGGAUCAAACAGGAUUAGAUACCCUGGUAGUCCACGCCCUAAACUAUGGAUACGCGACAUUAGCGAUAUACGGUUAGUGUCUGAGCGAAAGCAUUAAGUAUCCCACCUGGGAAGUACGAUCGCAAGGUUG